rnacentral:lncRNA from 1 species
GGAGAUCGGCUGAUUGGAAGGCUAGAGCGAUUGGGCCAAUAUGGGCUUAAAGUGGAUCAGAGAAAGAAGAUAGAGAAAGAUUGGCCCGUGGGAGUACAAUAACCAACUCUGAUACGGGUUGUGUUUGUAAAUAUUCAUUUUCGUUUAAGAUUAGAGAUAGAUCCUAGUCGGUUAGGAAAUCAGUUGUAACAAGCUAUAAAAAGCCAUCUUCAAA